UCUCCUGUGUCUCAGUGGUACAGCAUCUGCUUCGCAUGCUGAAGGUCCCAGGUUCAAUCCCCGGCAUGUCCAGUUGAA
rnacentral:tRNA from 1 species